GAGGAUGCAGAUCCGUGAACAUCGAGUCUUUGACGCAAUUGCGCCCCGAAGCCAUUAGGCCGAGGGCCGCCUGCCUGGGUGUCACACAUCGUUACCCCAAAUGCAAACGCCUCACGUGCGUGCGCAGCGGUGGAUGCUGACCUCCCGCGAGCAUCGUCUUGUGGCUGGUUCUAAAUCGAUGCAGCGGCCGACCUCGUCGCGACAAAAUGGUGGAUGAGCGAGCUCGAGACAGUCGCCCCGACCCGGCCAGGUCGGACUCCCCGACCCUACCCGUUCACCGACCGCCCCAACGGGACCUCAGGGCCGGGGGGGCUACCCCGUGGGGUUUAGCCUUUAAUAAGCGGGGGAAAAAAGGAAAA
rnacentral:rRNA from 1 species